rnacentral:rRNA from 1 species
CGGCGGACGGGUGAGUAACACGUGGAUAACCUACCUAUAAGACUGGGAUAACUUCGGGAAACCGGAGCUAAUACCGGAUAAUAUAUUGAACCGCAUGGUUGAAUAGUGAAAGACGGUUUUGCUGUCACUUAUAGAUGGAUCCGCGCCGCAUUAGCUAGUUGGUAAGGUAACGGCUUACCAAGGCAACGAUGCGUAGCCGACCUGAGAGGGUGAUCGGCCACACUGGAACUGAGACACGGUCCAG